UGAACAGAGAUGUAGAUAGGUUUGUGGUAUGUGGCAGAAUUCAGAAUUCUCUUGAUGGCUUCUGUUUCCUUUUGGAAGUAGGAGGUGAGGUCAUCUCCUGACAAGUGAAAGGACGAUGGGGCAGGAAUAUGAGAAGAGUGGAAGAAGUUUGAAAUGUUCCCUGUGAAGGAAAAAAGAGUAGUCUUUUGGAGAUACAGAAGGAGAAGCCAGUUCUUUUUGAGCCUUCCUAAUUUCCUUGGUUUGGUACUAUGAAGAGAGGUUUGGUACUUUGAAGAGAUUAUGGAUUUAACUCCAACAGACACUUGUGGAAAGAAUGGAAUUAGAACCCUGAGAUUUGGCUUGAGGCAGAAAGGUUGCUCAAUGAAGAAACUGGACAUGUAGGGGUGUCUGUUUACCAUCUUCUACACCAAAAGCCCACAAACUGCUGCCUAAUUUUGUAGUCAAGUUUUACUGUAAUAUAUUUAUGUCCUUUUGUUUUCAUAUCAUCUAUACCUUCUUUCCAGUAACAUCAGAGUUGACUGGCCUGCAAAACUGAAAAUGUUUACUAUCUGACCUAUGUUUGUCUUCUAUUAUGAUGAUAAUAAAAUGCCUAAGUGGGGUACAUAUAAA